rnacentral:rRNA from 1 species
AUUGAACGCUGGCGGCAGGCCUAACACAUGCAAGUCGAGCGGAUGAAGGGAGCUUGCUCCUGGAUUCAGCGGCGGACGGGUGAGUAAUGCCUAGGAAUCUGCCUGGUAGUGGGGGAUAACGUCCGGAAACGGGCGCUAAUACCGCAUACGUCCUGAGGGAGAAAAUGGGGGAUCUUCGGACCUCACGCUAUCAGAUGAGCCUAGGUCGGAUUAGCUAGUUGGUGGGGCAAAGGCCUACCAAGGCGACGAUCCGUAACUGGUCUGAGAGGAUGAUCAGUCACACUGGAACUGAGACACGGUCCAGACUCCUACGGGAGGCAGCAGUGGGGAAUAUUGGACAAUGGGCGAAAGCCUGAUCCAGCCAUGCCGCGUGUGUGAAGAAGGUCUUCGGAUUGUAAAGCACUUUAAGUUGGGAGGAAGGGCAGUAAGUUAAUACCUUGCUGUUUUGACGUUACCAACAGAAUAAGCACCGGCUAACUUCGUG